UUUGUUAUUUAUUGCAUCUUUUCCCAUGUACCUAUUUGAUGAUAACAAAAAGGGGGAGAAGUAAAGAAAGAGUAAUAAGAGAAGUAAAGAUAGAGUAAAUAGAGUAACAACAAGGGGAGAAGUAAAGAAAGAGUAAUAAGAGGAGAAGUAAAGAAAGAAAGAGAAAUAAUUUGUAAAACAAAUUGAAAAUCAUAUAGGAAAGCAUAUACAUCCAAGGGGGAGCAAUUUGUAACAAUGAAAAU
rnacentral:lncRNA from 1 species